rnacentral:sRNA from 1 species
GCUGGGCACAGUGGCGCACACCUGUAAUCCCAGCAGCUCAGGAGGCUGAGACAGGAGAAUCACGAGUUCAAAGCCAGCCUUAGCAAAAAGUGAGGCACUAAGCCACUCAGUGAGACCCUGUCUCUA